GUGCCAUUGGGGGACCCCAGUGAGUUCUUUUAAGUGUAGUACAACCAAAAUUAAAUUAAUCAAGUAGACAGCAAGAACAAAAAAAAAUAAUGGAAAGUUGCCGAGUUAAUUAAUCAAGAUGCAACUAAUCAAAGCUAAUUAAAAGGGCUUCGAGUUAAUUCUCGGUGAUUUAAAUCGAGUUUGCAGGUGUUGAUCUAGCUUGGUUAAUUAAUCCUUUCUUUUGUAGGUUUUUAGUUAAUUAGUCUCUCUGAUGAUGCUAGGGUUUGGAACUGAUCAUAUGUAAGUUAAUUUAUACUAAUGGUAGGCCUGUGACUUGUGAUUAGUUAGUCCUGAGUGGAUAAAUAAAGACAUAAAUGUACAUCUUUUUAAAAGAUAUAUAUGUGUAUAGAUGUUACAGUUUAUUAAUUUUACU
rnacentral:sRNA from 1 species